rnacentral:rRNA from 1 species
GAAACGACUGCUAAGACUGGAUAGGAAACAAAAAGGCAUCUUUUUGUUUUUAAAAGACCUUCUUACGAAGGUAUGCUUAAAGAGGGGCUUGCGCCACAUUAGUUAGUUGGUAGAGUAAAAGCCUACCAAGACGAUGAUGUGUAGCUGGACUGAGAGGUUGAACAGCCACAUUGGGACUGAGACACGGCCCAAACUCCUACGGGAGGCAGCAGUAGGGAAUUUUCGGCAAUGGAGGAAACUCUGACCGAGCAACGCCGCGUGAACGAUGAAGUAUUUCGGUAUGUAAAGUUCUUUUAUUGAAGAAGAAAAAGUAGUGGAAAAACUAUAUUGACGUUAUUCAAUGAAUAAGCCCCGGCUAACUAUGUGCCAGCAGCCGCGGUAAGACAUAGGGGGCGAGCGUUAUCCGGAAUUAUUGGGCGUAAAGGGUGCGUAGGCUGUUAGAUAAGUCUAUAAUUUAAUUUCAGUGCUUAACGCUGUCUUGUUAUAGAAACUGUCUUGACUAGAGUGAGAUAGAGGCAAGCGGAAUUCCAUGUGUAGCGGUAAAAUGUGUAAAUAUAUGGAGGAACACCAGAAGCGUAGGCGGCUUGCUGGGUCUUUACUGACGCUGAGGCACGAAAGCGUGGGUAGCAAACAGGAUUAGAUACCCUGGUAGUCCACGCCGUAAACGAUGAGUACUAAGUGUCGGGGUAAAACUCGGUACUGAAGUUAACACAUUAAGUACUCCGCCUGAGUAGUACGUACGCAAGUAUGAAACUUAAAGGAAUUGACGGGACUCCGCACAAGCGGUGGAUCAUGUUGUUUAAUUCGAAGAUACACGAAAAAUCUUACCAGGUCUUGACAUACUCUGCAAAGCUAUAGAAAUAUAGUGGAGGUUAUCAGGGAUACAGGUGGUGCAUGGUUGUCGUCAGUUCGUGUCGUGAGAUGUUAGGUUAAGUCCUAAAACGAACGCAACCCUUGUCGUUAAUUGCCAGCACAUAAUGGUGGGGACUUUAACGAGACUGCCAAUUAAACAUUGGAGGAAGGUGAGGAUUACGUCAAAUCAUCAUGCCCCUUAUGAUCUGGGCUACAAACGUGAUACAAUGGCUGUGACAAAGAGUAGCUGAAACGCGAGUUUUUAGCCAAUCUCAAAAAAGCAGUCUCAGUUCGGAUUGAAGUCUGUAACUCGACUUCAUGAAGUUGGAAUCGCUAGUAAUCGCGAAUCAGCAUGUCGCGGUGAAUACGUUCACGGGGUUUGUACACACCGCCCGUCA